CCUACGGGAGGCAGCAGUGGGGAAUCUUGGACAAUGGGGGCAACCCUGAUCCAGCAAUGCCGCGUGGGUGAAGAAGGCCUUUGGGUUGUAAAGCCCUUUCGGCAGGGAAGAAGGCGUUGGAGCUGAAUAGGUUUUGACGAUUUGACGGUACCUGCAGAAGAAGCACCGGCUAACUACGAGCCAA
rnacentral:rRNA from 1 species